UACGGAGGGUGCGAGCGUUGUCCGGAAUCACUGGGCGUAAAGGGCGCGUAGGCGGCGCGGGAAGUCCGUGGUGAAAGCCCGAGGCUCAACUUCGGGUCGGCCAUGGAUACUCCUGGGCUUGAGCACUGUAGAGGCAGGUGGAAUUCCGGGUGUAGCGGUGGAAUGCGUAGAGAUCCGGAAGAACACCGGUGGCGAAGGCGGCCUGCUGGGCUAUGGCUGACACUGAGGCGCGACAGCGUGGGGAGCAAACAGG
rnacentral:rRNA from 1 species